GACGAACGCUGGCGGCGUGCCUAAUACAUGCAAGUCGUGCGAAGUUUUUCUGGUGCUUGCACUAGAAAAACUUAGCGGCGAACGGGUGAGUAACACGUAAAGAACCUGCCUCAUAGACUGGGACAACUAUUGGAAACGAUAGCUAAUACCGGAUAACAGUAUUUCUCGCAUGAGAGAUAUUUAAAAGUUGGUUAUGCUAACACUAUGAGAUGGCUUUGCGGUGCAUUAGCUAGUUGGUGGGGUAAAGGCCCACCAAGGCGACGAUGCAUAGCCGACCUGAGAGGGUGAUCGGCCACACUGGGACUGAGACACGGCCCAGACUCCUACGGGAGGCAGCAGUAGGGAAUCUUCCGCAAUGGGCGAAAGCCUGACGGAGCAACGCCGCGUGAGUGAAGAAGGAUUUCGGUUCGUAAAGCUCUGUUGUUAGGGAAGAAUGGAUAUGUAGUAACUAUACAUGUAAGAGACGGUACCUAACCAGAAAGCCACGGCUAACUACGUG
rnacentral:rRNA from 1 species